GAUGAAGAACGCAGCAAAAUGCGAUAAGUAAUGUGAAUUGCAGAAUUCAGUGAAUCAUCGAAUCUUUGAACGCACAUUGCGCCCGCUGGUAUUCCGGCGGGCAUGCCUGUUCGAGCAUCAUUUCAACCCUCAAGCCCCCGGGUUUGGUGUUGGGGAUCGGCUCUGCCCUUCUGGGCGGUGCCGCCCCCGAAAUACAUUGGCGGUCUCGCUGCAGCCUCCAUUGCGUAGUAGCUAACACCUCGCAACUGGAACGCGGCGCAACCAUGCCGUAAAACCCCAACUUCUGAAUGUUGACCUCGGAUCAGGUAGGAAUACCCGCUGAACUUAAGCAUAUCAAUAAGCGGAGGA
rnacentral:misc_RNA from 1 species